AACGCACCUUGCACCCUUUGGUAUUCCGAAGGGUACGCCCGUUUGAGUGUCAUUGUAAUCUCACUACGAUCGACUUUUUGUCUUUUUGUAUGUGGACUUGGAUGUUGUCGUGAAUAAACAAACGGCUCGUCUGAAAUGCCUGAGUGUACCCCGCUUUGCGGCGUAUUCGGUGUGAUACAUCUUCACCGGAGUUGAUCCCUUUACCGGGGUCGCGUCUGUAAUGGUGUGGCUCUAUGCUUCCAACUGUCUUCUUAUCGAGACAAAUCUCUGACAAUUUGACCUCAAAUCGGGUGGGACUACCCGCUGAACUUAA
rnacentral:misc_RNA from 1 species